UAUGUGAUCGUCUCUCGCAUAUCAAUAAGCGGAGGAAAAGAAACUAACAAGGAUUCCCCUAGUAACGGCGAGUGAAGCGGGAAGAGCUCAAAUUUGAAAUCUUAAAGGGUUUCCCUUUACGAAUUGUAGUUUAAAGAAGUGUUUUCUGUUGAGGUUUUGGUAAAAGUUCUUUGGAAUAGGACAUCAUAGAGGGUGAGAAUCCCGUAUUUGACCUUUACUUUCAACUUUGUGAUACACUUUCAAAGAGUCGGAUUGUUUGGGGAUGCAGUCCAAAAUGGGUGGUAAAUUUCAUCUAAAGCUAAAUAUUGGCGAGAGACCGAUAGCGAACAAGUACCGUGAGGGAAAGAUGAAAAGAACUUUGAAAAGAGAGUUAAACAGUACGUGAAAUUGUCAAAAGGGAAGCGUUUGACACCAGUGUUGUUUUUCUGAAAAUCAAUUAAAGAACUGUUUAUGCUAAGCUGUUUAGACUUUAUCAGCUAUCUGUUUAGUUUUGAGCUUUUCUUUAAUGCACUUUUCAGUUAACAAGUCGACAUCAAUUUCUUUUGCUGUAAAAAAGCUUGAGGAAGGUGGCUUGAGAUUCGUCUUAAGUGUUUAUAGCCUCUUGCCUAUGCAGUCGGAGAGAUUGAGGUCUGCAGCGUAGAUCCUUCGGGGCUAAAUGCAUUUGUGCUAAGUUAUAGCAUUUUAUAGACAACUUGUUGACUAUGAUUUGUCUUGUAGCUUACUCGCUUAUGUUAUUUUACCUACGCUUAGGAUGUUGAGCGCAUGUCUCUCUCU
rnacentral:rRNA from 1 species